rnacentral:rRNA from 1 species
AGGACGAACGCUGGCGGCGUGCUUAACACAUGCAAGUCGAACGAGGUCCAACCUUCGGGUGAAGACCUAGUGGCGAACGGGUGCGUAACACGUGAGGAACUUGUCCCGGUCUCUGGGAUAACAGUUGGAAACGACUGCUAAUACCGGAUGACGUCGGAGCGUCGCAUGGCGCGCUGACGAAAGGGUUACUGGAUCGGGAGAGCCUCGCGGCCUAUCAGCUUGUGGUGGGUAACGCCUACCAAGGCAUCGACGGGUAGCUGGUCUGAGAGGAUGAUCAGCCACACUGGGACUGAGACACGGCCCAGACUCCUACGGGAGGCAGCAGUGGGGAAUCUUGCGCAAUGGGCGAAAGCCUGACGCAGCAACGCCGCGUGCGGGAAGAAGGCUCUCGGGUUGUAAACCGCUUUCAGAAGGAACGAAACUGACGGUACUUUCAGAAGAAGGUGCGGCCAACUACGCGCCAGCAGCCGCGGUAA